rnacentral:rRNA from 1 species
AUUGAACGCUGGCGGCAGGCCUAACACAUGCAAGUCGAACGAGUGGCGGACGGGUGAGUAAUGUCUGGGAAACUGCCCGAUGGAGGGGGGUAACUACUGGAAACGGUAGCUAAUACGGCAUACCAUCGGAUGUGCCCAGAUGGGAUUAGCUAGUAGGUGGGGUAACGGCUCACCUAGGCGACGAUCCCUAGCUGGUCUGAGAGGAUGACCAGCCAAACUGGAACUGGGAAACGGUCCAGAAUCCUACGGGAGGCAGCGGUGGGGAAUAGUGCACAAUGGGCGCAAACCUGGUUGCGCCACGCCGCGGGUAUGGAAGAGGCCUUUGGGUUUUUAAGUACUUUCAGCGAGGAGGCGUUACUCGCAGAAGAAGCACCGGCUAACUCCGUGCCAGCAGCCGCGGUAAUUC